UAUUAACGCUGGCGGCGUGCCUAAUACAUGCAAGUCGAGCGAACAGACGAGGAGCUUGCUCCUCUGACGUUAGCGGCGGACGGGUGAGUAACACGUGGAUAACCUACCUAUAAGACUGGGAUAACUUCGGGAAACCGGAGCUAAUACCGGAUAAUAUAUUGAACCGCAUGGUUCAAUAGUGAAAGACGGUUUUGCUGUCACUUAUAGAUGGAUCCGCGCCGCAUUAGCUAGUUGGUAAGGUAACGGCUUACCAAGGCAACGAUGCGUAGCCGACCUGAGAGGGUGAUCGGCCACACUGGAACUGAGGCACGGUCCAGACUCCUACGGGAGGCAGCAGUAGGGAAUCUUCCGCAAUGGGCGAAAGCCUGACGGAGCAACGCCGCGUGAGUGAUGAAGGUCUUCGGAUCGUAAAACUCUGUUAUUAGGGAAGAACAAAUGUGUAAGUAACUAUGCACGUCUUGACGGUACCUAAUCAGAAAGCCACGGCUAACUACGUG
rnacentral:rRNA from 1 species